UUAAGCAUAUCAAUAAGCGGAGGAAAAGAAACCAACAGGGAUUGCCCUAGUAACGGCGAGUGAAGCGGCAACAGCUCAAAUUUGAAAUCUGGCCUUCGGGUCCGAGUUGUAAUUUGUAGAGGAUGCUUUUGGCGCGGUGCCUUCCGAGUUCCCUGGAACGGGACGCCUUAGAGGGUGAGAGCCCCGUACGGUUGGACACCAAGCCUCUGUAAAGCUCCUUCGACGAGUCGAGUAGUUUGGGAAUGCUGCUCUAAAUGGGAGGUAAAUUUCUUCUAAAGCUAAAUACCGGCCAGAGACCGAUAGCGCACAAGUAGAGUGAUCGAAAGAUGAAAAGCACUUUGAAAAGAGGGUUAAAUAGCACGUGAAAUUGUUGAAAGGGAAGCGUUUACGGCCAGACCUUUUCCUGGCGGAUCAUCUGGUGUUCUCACCAGUGCACUCCGCCAGGUUUAGGCCAGCAUCGGCUCCCGUAGGGGGAUAAAAGCAGUGGGAAAGUAGCUCCCUCGGGAGUGUUAUAGCCCGCUGCACAAUACCCUUACAGGGGCCGAGGACCGCGCUUUUGCAAGGAUGCUGGCGUAAUGGUCGUCAACGACC
rnacentral:rRNA from 1 species